GUUAAAAACUUCAGUAGCACAUAUACUAAAAACUGGAAUGACACAGAGAAGAUUAACACAGCUUCCGCACAAGAAUGAAACACAAAUUCCUGAAGCAUUCCAUAAAAAA
rfam:Chlorocebus sabaeus isolate 1994-021 chromosome 28, whole genome shotgun sequence.